GGCGAGAUCGAAUAAUGGGAGUUCGCUGGGCUCAUGCCCCAUUGGUGUAGGUUCGAGUCCUACUCUUGCCA